rnacentral:lncRNA from 1 species
CAAGUGAUUCUCCUGCCUCAGCCUCCUGAGUAGCUGGGAUUACAGGCAUGCGCUGCCACCCCCGGCUAAUUUUGUAUUUUUAGGAGAGACGCGGUUUCUCCAUGUUGGUCAGGCUGGUCUUGAACUCCUGACCUCAGGUGAUCCGCCCGCCUUGGCCUCCCAAAUUUCUGGGAUUACAGGCGUGAGCCACUGUGCCUGGCCAUAUUUUUAUUUUUAAUGCGAAAACAUAUACUCAAAGUAGAAUGAAUCAAGAUUAUCUUAACCUCAUAAAGAUCCUCAAAAGUUUACAUCAAAAAGCCUGUUUCCAGCCUUUCAAGGUAACUCAAGUUAUACAAUGAGGCAUAAAAAGCCAAUACAAUCCCCAAAGCAGCAAUGUUUAAGGGUCAAACCCGAUGUUACUUAUCAGUAUUGAAACACUCAUAAUACCACAGCUACCCUUUAGAGCAGCAUUGCCCAGUACAACUUCUUACAGUGAUCACUACUGAGCACUUGAAAUGUAACUAGUGUGAUUAAAAACCUGAUUUUUCAGGGGCUGGUAACUGCUGUAUUGGACAAUAGAGCUUUAGAAUCUUAACUGUCGUUUAAUAUUCAGAAACUGGAAAUAUAAGAAAGGCACCAAAAUGAUGGUAAAAGGCCCCUCCAAAAACUGGGAAAAAGAGAAUCUUUAAUCUGUAGAAUACUAUUACCAAGCUGUCACCAACAAGCCUUAGUUUCUACCAAUACACUAUAAGACUAGCAUGUUACCUAGUGUAUAAAAAUAAUUCUGUAGUAAUAUUCUAGGUAUGAUAAUGGGGGAAAUGUUUACUGACUUUUCACCUUUGCUCUAAAAGGUGAAAUUUACAUAAAAAGUGUCCUGAAUUACAAAUCUCAGGUAAAUAAAAACUGCCCAAAUUCUUCACUCUCUCUCCCUCAGCAAGAAAGCAGACAACUACUUCUUAUAAAACCUACAAAGGUGUCUGAGGCAUAAUGAAAUUACCAUAAUGCAACUGGCACCAUAUAACAUGCAUUUCAUGACCUAUAUUAAUACAUUUAAGUGAGCCUUUUACAUUUUUAUUUCUCAUUUAGGAAAUUCUUCUAAAUCCAUUUACUCCUUUUGUUAACACAACUGUUGACAUAAAAAGAACAAUAUUUUAAGAGACUUCUUAGAAUAUCAGUGAAAGGAUAUAAAAGAGCUAAAGAUAAUUGUUAGGAUGGGGUGAGUCAGAUAAGGAAAAUACCUAUAACCAGAAAAUUAUUUUCUAUUAUUGGUAAUCACAGAUAUCUCAAAAGCAGGCAUAAAAGGAAAACUUUAAUUAUAAGAAAAUAGACCUAAGGUAAAAGCAUCUGGCCUAGGUUAAUGCAUACAAGAGCAAAAUGACAACUACAAAAAUAAAAGCCACAGAAUGUCCCAGUUAUGUGUUUGGUUGGCUUUAAAAAGUGAAUUACGAAUCUUUUUAUUGUAUCAUACAAAAUUCUCUAGUGUAUAAUAGACUAAAUGAAGUACAACGGGAAAACAAAUAGAUAACCUACUAAAUGGUUCAGAGAAAUUCAGCGUUAACCACAUAAGAGAAUCUAGGAAGGAAAGAAUAACAAGGCUGUAUAUUACACAUUCUAGCAGUGCCGGGACCUAUGUGUUUAAUUUCCAAUUAAAAUUUUCAUUUUUCUCCAAGUUUUCCUAUACAUUUAGAGCUUAUAAAUUUAAAAAAAUUGUAAUUCCAUUGGGAUGUGGAAAUAUGAUUUGAUAAAUACAAACCAGUAAACUGCUUAACAUAAAGAUGAUCUUAACAUCUAAGCAUUCACUAGACCUUAACAAUACUACCUCUGGACCCCUAAAACAUUUGAUUGAUACUAAAUCCAUGAAAACUCCACACUAAUAGUUGAGUAGUUACUACUCCACUUAUGUCAAAGAUUACAUCCUAAUCUUCUACUCAAUAAACCUCUACUAACUUUAUUACCAAGAAUUAAUGCCCCUGAGGACUAUUUUUAAAAUAUUAGUUUUCCAACAUUUUAUUUCAUUGUUUAUAAAUCAAAUUCACACAAAUACAGUCAAAGUUCUGUAGUCACUCCUUACUGAGGAUGAUGCUGGCUGGUUUCUGAGUAUGAAGACGAUGCUAUGGCAGUACCGCACACAGUCUGAUGAGUUGUUUUUCCAUAAGAAAUGAAUUUAUGCUGCUUCAUCCACAAUGUCUAUCCAUUCAUACUCAUGUCAAAGAGCAUUCAUAUGCAAGACAAUUGGUGGGAUUAGGGAUUACAGCAAAGCUAAUUCAGCCCUCUUAUGGAGAUAAAAUCUGUGAUCUUUGCCUAAAUGUUUUAUGCUCAACAACAAAGAACCACAAACUCCAUUUAUAUUUAUUAAAAUGAAAAAGGCAUAGAUAAAAAUUACUAUUCAGUUCAAAGGUUGACCAUUUAAAAGAACUAUCUCCUUUUACUCUAGAAGCCUUUAUUUCAAACUCUAACAAGGAAUCAAAAGGGUUAAUGCUCCCACGAAGUGUUACCAAAAGUAUUUCACAACAUUGGUAUAUAUAACACUAAUUGUAUAAAUAAUAAAUUCAUUACUUUUACCUUCUAUAUAUACAAUAUAGUAUAUUUAGAUGGUCACUAAAUAACUGGAACUAAACAUUUUAAAUUGUGACUAUUUCCUCUACACAUUUUAACAUUAUUGCCAGGUAAAAGUGCAGAUAUGAAAGCAAAAGGCAAUCCUGCCUCUUUGCCCUUGUAUUUUGGGAUUCUCUUCUUUAGAAUUAAUCUGUAUGUUCUUUUGAGUCUAAUCUUCUAAGCAGCUUAAAGAGGUUUUAUAUCAAAUAGUUACAUAUAUCGUCCCACAAGAGACAUCAUCUGCUUUAUUCAUUUAGCCCUUUGAAAAGAAUUGUAAAAUAAUUUUACCUUCUAGGAUUCUUCUUUGGUAAGAAAAAAAAUUUUUUUAACAAAAAAUAAUGUCACCAUUAUUUGAGUACCUUUCUCUAUCAACUUUUCCCACCAGAUUUAAGAAUAAUUCUCCUCAACCUUUAAUUAAAAUCUGACAACUUUUGAUGACAAACAAGGCUAAGGCACCACACUCAGUGUUAAGAUUGAAAAUGGCUGAGUACUAAAUUUCAAAUAAAUAGACGCACACACACACUCUCUCUCUCUCAAAAAAGUGUAAGCAUCAGGAGUUACUAAGCACUUUCCCCAUGAUUGAACCGAAGAAAUUCAAAACAGUUAUGCUCACUUAUCUUCUCAGGAAGAUCCCUUGGAAUUCUGCAAUAUUUGUUAAGUCUUCAGUGGAAAAUAUUUGUCAUACAGACUCUCUCCCUACCUAUUUUUUUUUCCAACUCUUUUUUAAAUGCUUAAACUGCAGGAAAUUACUAAAAGCAUACAUAUUAGGAUUUCUAAGUAAGCCUGUUCAACCCUCUUAUCAUGGUUUCUAUUCAGCUACUACAAGAAGAUUAAGUCAGCUGCACAUGUCAGUUAACCUUUCUCUCUUGAGAUAUGCAGGUAGCCUGAUUGGGGGAUUAACAACUCAAAUGGUCUCACUAAAAUAUUAUCCAAACCAACUAUCUCCCUCUUAACUGGUGAUGGCAUAACUUGCUUCACUUGUUGAAUCCCAUGGGAAUACAGAUUAUCACCAGUAACUGUAAGUUGCACUGGCUAGUUAUCAUGUCCAGCUUCAUUGUACAGAACUUGUUCUCUCAAAAUGCUGCAGGUCAAACAAACAAAAAAAAAGUGAAAAUGUCAGCUGUGAAUAGCUUGGGGAGAAAAGUACUGCUAUCAAAAAGUUUCUGAUUUGGGUUCUGUUCACUUUCUGAUUUUAUAAACAGGAUUUAUUUGUAGAAUUGGAGGUGUUUACUGGAAGAUGAUGAUAUGGCCAAGCCAAGGAAGGGAACCUACAGUGAAGAGUACAGGUGUCUCUGAUCUACAUAUCCAAGAACUGCAAGAAAAAUGUCCAGAUGGGCAUCAGAUACCUAGUCCAGUCCUUGGCAAAAGUCUGGGCUUUGGAAACCAAGGGCAAGAGGCGAUGACAACUAAUCUAUAGUAAUUAAAACUCCCACCCCCCUAUUAAGACUCCACCCUCCCACAUCCCCCAAGCGUGAUUUUGCACAACAAGUUAAAUAAAAGUAAACUGUUUAUUAAAAGAUACAGCAAAGGUACAGAUACAGAGAUACAUACAAAGAUACAGAUAUAUAUAUAUAUUUACAUAUAUAUACAGUCUUGCUGUUUUCAUGUGCACUAUAUUUAGCAGCACAUUAUUUAAUCAGGCGGCAUUUUAAUGGGGUUGUUUUGACACUUGGCAUUAUUAAGAUACAACUAUAGCCCCGUGGAAAUUUCAACGUUUGAAUUCCACUUCUCCGACUUUUAAUAGUAGCAAAGAGGGGAAGGAGAAGGGAAUGGAGUACCAAGGCUGAGCAUUAGGUUAAACACAAGAAUUUAAAAGGGCCAAGGUAGCAAAGGGAAGGAAAAA